GAUGAACGCUGGCGGCGUGCCUAAUACAUGCAAGUCGAGCGAACAGACGAGGAGCUUGCUCCUCUGACGUUAGCGGCGGACGGGUGAGUAACACGUGGAUAACCUACCUAUAAGACUGGGAUAACUUCGGGAAACCGGAGCUAAUACCGGAUAAUAUAUUGAACCGCAUGGUUCAAUAGUGAAAGACGGUUUUGCUGUCACUUAUAGAUGGAUCCGCGCCGCAUUAGCUAGUUGGUAAGGUAACGGCUUACCAAGGCAACGAUGCGUAGCCGACCUGAGAGGGUGAUCGGCCACACUGGAGCUGAGACACGGUCCAGACUCCUACGGGAGGCAGCAGUAGGGAAUCUUCCGCAAUGGGCGAAAGCCUGACGGAGCAACGCCGCGUGAGUGAUGAAGGUCUUCGGAUCGUAAAACUCUGUUAUUAGGGAAGAACAAAUGUGUAAGUAACUAUGUACGUCUUGACGGUACCUAAUCAGAAAGCCACGGCUAACUACGUG
rnacentral:rRNA from 1 species